CUUUUGGGUGGAGCUCAUUAUCAAUGACGGGAAGUUGUAAGGAAAAAGAUAUUGAUUCAUCCUGAGAAAAUAUUUUUCUGAGAGUCAGCAAUGAAGAGGGUGAACACUGAAGAGGGUGAUCAUUGUUUGAGUGAGACGAGCCCCGGGUUGUACGGAGUCAGCAUCCGUGUCCUGGACACGGCACUGUGCAGCACUGGUGGGUGAG